CUCAAAGGAAUUGACGGGGGACCCGCACAAGCGGUGGAGCAUGUGGUUUAAUUUCGAAGCAACGCGAAGAACCUUACCAAAUCUUGACAUCCUCUGACCCCUCUAGAGAUAGAAGUUUCCCCUUCGGGGGACAGAGUGACAGGUGGUGCAUGGUUGUCGUCAGCUCGUGUCGUGAGAUGUUGGGUUAAGUCCCGCAACGAGCGCAACCCUUAAGCUUAGUUGCCAUCAUUAAGUUGGGCACUCUAAGUUGACUGCCGGUGACAAACCGGAGGAAGGUGGGGAUGACGUCAAAUCAUCAUGCCCCUUAUGAUUUGGGCUACACACGUGCUACAAUGGACAAUACAAAGGGCAGCGAAACCGCGAGGUCAAGCAAAUCCCAUAAAGUUGUUCUCAGUUCGGAUUGUAGUCUGCAACUCGACUAUAUGAAGCUGGAAUCGCUAGUAAUCGUAGAUCAGCAUGCUACGGUGAAUACGUUCCCGGGUCUUGUACACACCGCCCGUCACACCACGAGAGUUUGUAACACCCGAAGCCGGUGGAGUAACCAUUUGGAGCUAGCCGUCGAAGGUGGGACAAAUGAUUGGGGUGAAGUCGUAACAAGGUAGC
rnacentral:rRNA from 1 species